rnacentral:lncRNA from 1 species
GAUUUCUUAUUUAGAAAUCUGACCGAAAGUUAGGUGCUGUAAGAGCUGCAUUUGUCAAAGGAAGUCUUGCUGUGUACCCUGCCACAGGAGAACAGAGAUUAAAUGUCCAGAUGAAACCAUGGGAGAAGAUGUGGUUCUUCAGUGACUCAUCAGGUCCACUGAGGAGAGAACAGUUUUCUAGUGAGACGUGCAGGUGUGUGUUGUGAGCCCCAUCAGUAACUACCAUCAGUAAUGCUUUCAUGGCUCCUGAGCACAUAUGUUUGAGUGAAUUUCCUUGGAGAGAUUAAUGAAGGUGAAUGGUUCACUCAGAUUCCAGAGCCAGAUAUACAAUACAGGCAAGCUGUCAUCUGGGCAUACGUUGCAUCUGGACCUUGAAGCAAAAGAAAAUAUGUGUUAUGGGGCCAGUGCUGUGGCGUAGCAGGUAAAGCCACUGC